rnacentral:rRNA from 1 species
AUGGUACUACAGGCACAAAACAAUGGCUUGAUUGAUGGGUUAGCAUCUGAUUUGGUGGAUAAAGGAGUGGCUAUUCUGCAAUAUGCAGAUGACACAGUGUUGUGUGUGGAACAUAACCUUGAAAAAACACUCAAUUUGAAGCUGUUGCUUUACAUGUUCGAACUCAUGUCUGGUUUAAAAAUCAACUUUCAGAAGAGUGAAAUCCUUUGUGUUGGAGGGGAUGAUAAUAUCCUGGAGGAAUAUGCUAACACUUUCGGGUGCCAGAUCGGCCAUUUCCUGAUGAAAUACCUAGGGGUUCCUGUUAGUUACUCCUCCUUGAGAGGGGUGGACUGGGAUUUCCUAGAAGCUAAAUAUAUUAAGAGAUGUGAGUCUGGUCUUGGGAGUAAUGGU